rnacentral:rRNA from 1 species
UUCCGGUUGAUCCUGCCGGAUCCUACUGCUAUCGGGAUGAGACUAAAACAUGCUAGUUGCGCGCACCUUAGCUAUGUUAGGAGCGCAGCGAACGGCUCCGUAACACGUUGUCAAUCUAACCUUAGGAUGGGAAUAACCCCGGGAAACUGGGGCUAAUACCUGAUAGGCGAAAAAUUCUGGAAUGAUUUUUCACUCAAAGAGUUAUAGGAACAUGCUUCUUUAACUGCCUAAGGAUGAGACUGCGUCCGAUCAGGUUGUUGGUGGGGUGAUGGCCUACCAAGCCUAUAACCGGUACGGGCCCUGAGAGGGGGAGCCCGGAGAUGGGAACUGAGACAAGGUCCCAGACCCUAAGGGGUGCAGCAGUUGCGAAACCUCUACAAUGCACGAAAGUGUGAUAGGGUUAUCCCGAGUGCCGUCCGAUGAGGAUGGCUUUUACCUGGUGUAAGGAGCCAGGAGAAUAAAGGGGGGGCAAGACUGGUGUCAGCCGCCGCGGUAAUACCAGCCCCCUGAGUGGUAGGGAUGAUUAUUUGGCCUAAAGCGUCCGUAGCCGGCUCAGCAAGUCUUUCGUUAAAUCCGGUGACUUAAUCAUCGGGCCGCGAGAGAUACUACUAGGCUUGAGGGCGGGAGAGGUCGACGGUAUUCCGGGGGUAGGGGUAAAAUCCUAUAAUCCUCGGAGGACCACCAGUGGCGAAGGCGGUCGACUAGAACGUGCCUGACGAUGAUGGACGAAAGCUGGGGGAGCAAACCGGAUUAGACACCCGGGUAGUCCCAGCCGUAAACGAUGCGGGCUAGGUGUUGGGUCAGCUACGAGCUGCUCCAGUGCCGAAGAGAAGUCAUUAAGCCCGCCGCCUGGGAAGUACGGUCGCAAGACUGAAACUUAAAGGGAAUUGGCGGGGAGCACCACAAGGGGUGAAGCCUGCGGUUCAUUGGAUCACGCCGGU